UUUAAAAAAGAAGACAAAGAGGAGGUGUUUUGUGAUUCCUGUCUCACUCUCACGUGUCUUCAGGGAGCGUCGCUGCUACGAGACACAGAUUAGCUACAAAGCAGCAGGUGGCGCCGACGCUGGACUCUGGGACCUAAUUAUCUCUGACGGGAAACUUCCUCGUGUUUGAAGGACAAAUGAUUCAUUAAAAACAACAACUCACCUACGCCUGCCACUGUGGACAAUACCCGCGUGUCCCCCGCGUGUCCGCCUGCUUCACAGACACUGAUAAACUCAAGCUCGCGACGUCACGUCCAACGACAACUCCACACCGAGGUCACCGUGACCUUCAGCAGCCGCUCGUCGCCAUGACAACACGGGCGGGAAGGAAAGCACGCCACCAUCUUUGUUUUACGAUUAAACUAAAAAAACAACAAGCACCAAAACACAUCAGGGGGAGGAGCAAGAGACACAUGACGUCUGUGUCACAUGAUGCCACUGUGUGUGUGUGUGUGCGCUAGUAGAGCUCCUCAAAUCCUUUUUUCCCACAAUGCAACAGCAUGGGAACCAAAGGUAAAAGAAGGUAAAAAAACCCUCCUCCUCCUCCUCCUCCUCAGUGCAGUGAUGAAGAAAGACUUUUAUUUUGACAGUCUCAUCCGAACAAUGAGCUCAAAUCAAACAGCGCUCUAAUAGUCUGGAGACGCCUCGAACCCGGCUUUGUCUUUUCUUUAUAGUUCUCUUUCCUCCGCUGAGAGACACUCUCCCUCCUCCUCCUCCUCCUCCUCCUCCUCAUGAUCUCCCUCUGACGAGACUUUAAGUCUUUACUAAUCUGUCUUCAGCUUCUCCUCUUCCUCUUCUGGGAACAGAUCUGCCUAUGAAAAGAAGACUGACGAGCCGAAGACAAAAAGACGGGGGGACAAAUGUGUGUGGACACAGUCUUGUGUCCUGUACUUUGAGCGAUCUGUUUACGUCCAGCGAAGACGGCGGCGGCGUCCCCCAGAUAAAAGACGACCAAACAAGAAAGGGGACGGAGAAAAAAACAGCAACAACAUGAGAAGACGACGAGACGAGUGCGUUUGCUUUAAUUGGACGCAGACGGCGGCAAAGACGGGGACAGAUGGACGGACUGAGCAGAUUAGCAUCAAUAAUCAGGCGGCGGUGGACGCGGCGGCCAUGUUGAUGGAGCUGCUAUCUGGUCUCACGACCUGGACGACUAAAGACCAAAGAGCGGAGACGUUAGGACGGCGUCUCACUGCUCGUCCUCCGUCACAAACGUUUGUAAAGAGUUUUCAAUUAAAUCUGAUCCUUUGUCUUAAAACCUCAAUCACCCCCUCCUCCUUCUGUCUCAGUCUCUCCUGUCUUCUGUCUCCUCCGUCUCUUCAGUCUCUGUAAUGAGAGUGCGGUGCAGUAAUAAUGGUUCUUGUGUCCUCUGAAGAUUCCAUUAGAGCGACGUACGGCGCUUUAAUAAAAACUUAACCACACGGAUAA